rnacentral:rRNA from 1 species
GUGGGGAAUCUUGCGCAAUGGGCGAAAGCCUGACGCAGCCAUGCCGCGUGAAUGAUGAAGGUCUUAGGAUUGUAAAAUUCUUUCACCGGGGACGAUAAUGACGGUACCCGGAGAAGAAGCCCCGGCUAACUUCGUGCCAGCAGCCGCGGUAAUACGAAGGGGGCUAGCGUUGCUCGGAAUUACUGGGCGUAAAGGGCGCGUAGGCGGACAGUUUAGUCAGAGGUGAAAGCCCAGGGCUCAACCUUGGAAUUGCAUUUGAUACUGGCUGUCUUGAGUACGGGGGAGGUGAGUGGAACUCCGAGUGUAGAGGUGAAAUUCGUAGAUAUUCGGAAGAACACCAGUGGCGAAGGCGACUCACUGGCCCGUUACUGACGCUGAGGCGCGAAAGCGUGGGGAGCAAACAGGAUUAGAAACCCGGGUAGUCC